rnacentral:rRNA from 1 species
UCGGGAAUAUUGCGCAAUGGAGGAAACUCUGACGCAGUGACGCCGCGUGCAGGAAGAAGGGUUUUCGGAUUGUAAACUGCUUUAGAUAGGGAGAAAAAAUGACAGUACCUAUAGAAUAAGCUCCGGCUAACUACGUGCCAGCAGCCGCGGUAAUACGUAGGGAGCAAGCGUUAUCCGGAUUUAUUGGGUGUAAAGGGUGCGUAGAUGGAUAAACAAGUUGUUUGUGAAAUACCUCGGCUCAACUGAGGAACUGCAAGCAAAACUGUAUAUCUUGAGUACUGGAGGGGAAAGCGGAAUUCCUAGUGUAGCGGUGAAAUGCGUAGAUAUUAGGAAGAACACCGGUGGCGAAGGCGGCUUUCUGGACAGAAACUGACAUUGAGGCACGAAAGUGUGGGGAGCAAACAGGAUUAGAUACCC